CUCGUCGAGGUUUGCUCGAUUGAGUUCAACUUUUCACUAAAAGUGGUGUUGGCAUCAACAAGUGUUCCCAUCUGACUGGUCAGAUAGGUGGUUGUCUGAUUAAGCAAAGCAAUUGCAUCGCUCAAUGCUUGCUGCUCAGCCAUAGUUUCUUGGUUCGGAAAGAAGGAUUUUGAGAUUAAAGAGUUUUGUGGUAGAUCCCCACAGGCGGGGCCAAAAUGUGGAUGUAGGAUUCACACUUGAUUAUCUUUAAGUAUUUCAGUGGAGAAAAACUCUUAAAAUCAACAAAAGAAUAUGAGAAUUCGAAAGGGAAAUUAACCAAAAAAAGAAAGUAAAGAAACUUGACCAGAACGAAGUGCAAAAAGCCUUUUGAAAGAGAGAAAGUAUGUUGUAUUGCUUAGUAGUAGUGUGUAAUAAUCUAUGAGAAAUCUCCCCCAAACACAUGCGUUCGAGGUUGUUUUGAUAGAGAAAGCAUGAUUAAUGCGGUCAUUCACUCUACAUGAUUAUAUUGAUCCGCAUUAAUCAUGUAAGUUACAAUUUUGACCGAAACGGCUCGAAUUUGAACUAUCUUGGGCUUCACAUGGGCUUUCCGAACUCUUUCUUGUUGACUCCGAACUCCCGCGCUUUGAUGCUACUGCGAGCCUCGAACAAUAUUCUCCUCGCUUCGGC
rnacentral:lncRNA from 1 species